UACGUAGGGUGCAAGCGUUGUCCGGAAUUAUUGGGCGUAAAGCGCUUGUAGGCGGCACGUCAAGUCGCGUGUGAAAUCCCCAGGCUUAACCUGGGAAGUGCGCGCGAAACUGACGAGCUUGAGUGCCGGAGAGGGUCGCGGAAUUCCCGGUGUAGAGGUGAAAUUCGUAGAUAUUGGGAGGAACACCGGUGGCGAAGGCGGCCACCUGGGCCGGAACUGACGCUGAGGCGCGAAAGCGUGGGGAGCAAACGGG
rnacentral:rRNA from 1 species